rnacentral:lncRNA from 1 species
CAUAAGCCUAGGAGAUGGAGUUAGCAACCUCAGUAACAUAGCCAGACCCUAUCUCAAAAAAUAAAUAAGAAUACUAAAUUAAAUAUGCAGAUUAGUUUGCCUCCUCUAGUGUUUUGUUUGUUUGUUUGUUUGCAGUGCUGGAGAUCAAAUUCAGUGCCUCACUCAUACUAGGCAAGCACUCUGCCACUGAGCCAUACCCCUAGCCCUCUAGAUUUUUCCUAAUUAUUUCUAUAUCAAGGGACAUGUUAAAACAUGUAUGCAGUAUAACAGUAUUUAAGUAUAUGUCCUAUAAUAAGUAACAUCACAAUUGACAUCCCAAAUCAGAUAGACCAUUUCUGUUUGCAAAGGAGACAGUGAAGCAUAAGUUGUGAUGGAAACAGGAAAGAAAAUAUGAACACAACUGUGGCAGAGACUGGAAAUGGCCUACCCCUCUUUGAAUCCUGGAGGUUUCAUUGGGAAUAUGGAAAUUUGGGUUCAAUCCUUAGCACCACAUAAAAAUAAACAAAAAAUAAAGGUAUUUUGUCCAUUUCUAAAAAAGAUUUUUUUAAAAAAAGUACAAUUCUUACCCUUUCUUGAGCUGAGAGUGACCAUAUGGCUAAGCCUUGACCUGUGCAAUAUGAACGGAAAUGGCAGCUUAUAGGGAAUUCUGGAGAGCCAGAUGGCAGGGACCUUUUUCCAUUUCCUGCCUGGAUCAUGGUUGUAAAGACGGGAGCUUCAGCUUGAACCUGAAGAUAAAGGCUGCAGUCUAAGGAUGUCAGAGUGAAAGUUAGAUACAGACUAGAUCCCAGGUGACUAUUAGGGCUCCCUAGAAACUCUGAAUUCUCUACCUCUGGUCUUCUUUGGGAGAGGAAAAAUAAAAUGAAAUCGUGUGUAAGCCACUGUUAUUUUGGUUCUCUGCUACUCAUUGCCAAACAAGUCUAAUACAGCAUAUUAAGAAUCUGUUUUUUAAAAUACCUUUGUAGAAAAAGAAAUAUAGAAAAGAAUUUUAAAAAUCACAUAGAUAAGAUGGUGACAGAUACAAAGACAACUCUUGAGUCUUUAAAGACCCA